UUGAGUAUCUGAACCGGGAAAAUGCUUGACACUGAAAAUUACCAGCUAGGCUGUAUAGGACAACUAAGGCAGGAACAGCGAGUGUGCACCCACGACGAAGUGCGCCAGUUUGUGCUGAAACCAAAAAGUUGUCAGUUGCCCCAAGUGCAGACUGUAUUACAACAGGACGAAAACUGGAGAAUUACUUUCAGUCGGAGUCGAGUGUAAAGCACUCACCUCCCUAAACCUUGGACAACAGCAAUAAGACAGCCGAUCGUGAGGAAGUCUUCACCUUUUCCUUCUCGCUUUCACCCACACUCAUCCCUGGGAAAUGUAGAUCUUUUCCUGACAAGUUCUUCGAGGAGCAAAGCCUCUGGAGAUCAUCUGCCGAGCUCUGCCAAAAAAUGCGUGGGAAUAGCCUGGAUGGGAAGGGGAAGGGAUUUUUAAUUGUUUUUUUUUUCUUUUCUUUUUUUUUCUAGAAAUAGUGUCUGUGAUUGUUCCGUUGCUGUAUUUACCUAACCGUGAAUAAAGAUUCAAAGUGUGGGUGGUAAUGACUAUUUGUUUAGGAGCCCCGAUAUGUGGUUCUAGUGCUGUUUAGAAAUGUUUUCCAUGUGACAUAAAUUAUGCAUAUUAAGUCUAUGCUGCAUGAUAUAAAUCAAGUUACUUUGAAGAGUGAAAAUUGCAAUAUGUGCUCCCUGUUUUCUUACACUCAGUAACCUGACUGCAUCAACAGCUGGAAAAACAAGGGCUAGCAUUUUGGUGUUCAUUAGGAGCUCACUC